UUUAAGUUGGGGACAACCAGAUGAAAAUCUGGCUAAUACCGAAUGUGGUCUUCUGGCACAUGUCAGGAUGACUAAAGGCGGGGAUUCUUCGGAACCUGCCGCUUGAAGAUGCACCCGCGUGCCAUCAGCUUGUUGGUAGGGUAACGGCCUACCAAGGCUUACGGCUAGCCGGCCUGAGAGGGUGACCGGCCACACUGGGACUGAGACACUGCCCAGACUCCUACGGGAGGCUGCAGUCGAGGAUCAUUCGCAAUGCGCGAAAGCGUGACAAUGCGACGCUGCGUGGGGGAUGAAGGCCUUCGGGUCGUAAACUCCUGUCAUGAGGGAAAAGUAUCCCUGCAAUUAAUAGUUGCGGGGCUCGAUGGUACCUCAAGGGGAAGCCACGGCUAACUCUGUGCCAGCAGCCGCGGUAAUACAGAGGUGGCGAGCGUUGUUCGGAUUUACUGGGCGUAAAGGGUGCGUAGGUGGUUUUGUGUGUCGGAUGUGAAAGCCCAUGGCUCAACCGUGGAAUUGCAUUCGAAACUGCAGGACUAGAGUGCAGGAUGGGAGAGCGGAAUUUUUGGUGUAGCGGUGAUAUGCGUUGAUAUCAAGAAGAACACCGGUGGCGAAGGCGGCUCUCUGGAAUGCUACUGACACUGAGGCACGAAAGCUGGGGGAGCAAACAGGAUUAGAUACCCUGGUAGUCCCAGCCGUAAACGGUGCACACUUGGUGUGGGGAGAUUUAACCCUCUCCGUGCCGGAGCUAACGCGUUAAGUGUGCCGCCUGGGGAGUACGGCCGCAAGGCUAAAACUCAAAGAAAUUGACGGGGGCCCGCACAAGCGGAGGAGCAUGUGGCUUAAUUCGAUGCAACGCGAAGAACCUUACCAGGGCUUGACAUAUACCUGCAAACCCCGUGAAAGCGGGGAAUCCUUCGAGGGUGGUAUACAGGUGCUGCAUGGCUGUCGUCAGUUCGUGCCGUGAGGUGUUGGGUUAAGUCCCGUAACGAACGCAACCCUUGUGACUAGUUGCCACCGGCGGUGAUGAGCCGUCGAGCACUCUAGUCAGACUGCCCGUACAAGCGGGAGGAAGGUGGGGAUGACGUCAAGUCAGUAUGGCCCUUACGCCCUGGGCUGCACACGUGCUACAAUGGUCGGUACAAUGGGAUGCAAUACCGCGAGGUGGAGCCAAUCCUGAAAGCCGGCCCCAGUUCGGAUUGAAGUCUGCAACUCGACUUCAUGAAGU
rnacentral:rRNA from 1 species